GUGACUCAGAGGUGGGGGAAGAGGAGGGACCUGCAAUGUGGUCUCAGUCUGAAAAUUUUUGGGAAUGAGCUUAGUUUCGUGGACUGUGGGGCAGUGAGAAGCCACAUGAAGAGGUACUCCCUGAACCUGGCUGAACUGACUGUCAGACUCCUCAAGGGUCAGGAGGUGCAGAUUAACAGAAGGCUGAGCUUGGCAACCGAAGAGCUCUCCUUUCCAACUGUGUCGGGCCUCCCUGUGCAAUUAGCCUUGAACGCAUCAGCUGCCAUCCACAUCCGGAUACGGGGGACCGUGGACUUCAAGCAGCUUUCGGAUUUCUCCUUGGAGGGCUAUAUUAAGCCAAGUGCCUUGAUACAGAUCGCAGCUCAGAUGGGUGUGGCAGGCUUCCAUGGGAAAGCAGGGGUGAAGUGGGUGACUGGCAUUCGAAGUUCCACCAGCCUCGAUGGAGGAAUCAUGGCGAAAAGGGGACAGGAGCUCAAGAUGUUUCUGAAUACGCCGGAGGAAUCCAUGGAACUGGUGAAUUUCAGCUCUAAGCUGUAUCUCAUGACUGUGGAUGGUGUGAUGAAUAUUGAC
ensembl:lncRNA